AAAUGAAUAGACGGGGACCCGCACAAGCAGCGGAGCAUGUGGUUUAAUUCGAAGCAACGCGAAGAACCUUACCAGGGCUUGACAUCCCUCGGACCGACUUAGAGAUAAGUCUUUCCCUUCGGGGACCGAGGUGACAGGUGGUGCAUGGUUGUCGUCAGCUCGUGUCGUGAGAUGUUGGGUUAAGUCCCGCAACGAGCGCAACCCCUGCCUUUAGUUGCUACCAGUUAGGCUGAGCACUCUAAAGGGACUGCCGAUGAUAAAUCGGAGGAAGGUGGGGAUGACGUCAAAUCAUCAUGCCCUUUAUGUCCUGGGCUACACACGUGCUACAAUGGUCGGUACAACGGGCAGCCAGCGAGCGAUCGUGAGCUAAUCCCUUAAAGCCGACCCCAGUUCGGAUUGCAGGCUGCAAUUCGCCUGCAUGAAGCCGGAGUUGCUAGUAAUCGUGGAUCAGAAUGCCGCGGUGAAUACGUUCCCGGGUCUUGUACACACCGCCCGU
rnacentral:rRNA from 1 species